CUCGUAGGCGGUUCGUCGCGUCCGGUGUGAAAGUCCAUCGCUUAACGGUGGAUCCGCGCCGGGUACGGGCGGGCUUGAGUGCGGUAGGGGAGACUGGAAUUCCCGGUGUAACGGUGGAAUGUGUAGAUAUCGGGAAGAACACCAAUGGCGAAGGCAGGUCUCUGGGCCGUUACUGACGCUGAGGAGCGAAAGCAUGGGGAGCGAACA
rnacentral:rRNA from 1 species